CCCCUCUGCUGUUAGACAGUUAAAGUUUCUCAUGCUGUAACAGGUGUCUCUUUACAUUCAACAAUGCUUGCUGCUUACUUGCACUCGCCCCCUGCUGUUCAGUGACAACUACUGCAAACAUUUUUUCCCUUUUGAAUCCAGGUGUAAGGUUACUAAUUCAUAUAUCCAAAUGUAUAUAUAUACAUUUAUGUGUAUACACUCUUUAAAAAAAUGUUUAUGUCUAGCAACCUGAAGGAUUUAUAUUCUCUGUUGAAGGGUUCCCCUCUGGGAAACCUCCAACACCGACCACUGAAGUGAAUUCACGUCAGUCUGUGCAAUCGAAAGGGAGGAAGGGACCUGGCAUAGCUUCAUCACCAGAAGAGAAUACCAGCAGUGGCAGCACCAAAGAUUGGUUGGUCAUCUUGAUUGUGAUUGUGGCCAUCGUUGCUAUUAUUAUUCUGGGUGCUUUUGUGGUAACAAGGAACAGGUGGUGUGGGAGAAGCCAGACUCUGAUGAUCACCUCCAAGAGCAGCGGUGAGGGCAAUGGGACAGCAGCAUCAGCGGCCAGCCCCGAGGCUCAGGAGAGAGAGCAGGAAAUGGUGACGCUUAUGAACAAAGAGAAGAUCCAGGAGAAUGGCAACACGGAGGAGUUUACUGUGAUCACCCUGGAAGAAUCACCAGAGAAAAACCAGGAAGCAUGAAAGACUGAAUGAGACGGGUUGAGGAUGAGGGAUCAAAAGGUUGGGGGAGAGAGUGAUGGGUCAUGGCUUAAGUCUUAACCAGAGAGAUAGAAGCUGUUAGACACUUUGGGAGCCAGACAGACACUCAGAUACUGUUGGUGACAUAAAGUGUCAAAAGUCUUGUUUGGUCUUUUUAUAUGAAAAAUUUCCAUUUCCUUAAGGGUAAGGAAUCUACUAUAAUUUUCCUGUGGCUUCAAAACAAACAACACAACAAAGUGUUAUAUUUUAGACAAAAGGGAAAAAUUAAAGAUUUCUCUACACGCCAUGGAGACAUCCUAAAUUUAAACCUCUGGGCUCUUAAUUCUUUUCUAGUUUCAUUUUGCCUUUCACAGUGAGAAAACCUGAUGGUUAAUCUAGCACAAAUGAGAAUGUUCUUUUGAACUGAUUUCACCUUUUUUUGCUCCCCAAAUUUAGGGCUAAUCAACAUAUUAAGGAUGAAACAAAAGCUGAUGGAAACCAAAUUUUAUGAUCUCAAUAAAAUAGUUACAGAGAUGGUGAUACUGCUCACCAGCUCAUGUCUCCUAACUUCCCCAUCGCAUGCCUGAUACUACUAAGGCCUCUUAACACAGAUAAGACACAUUUAUCAUCUCCUAAUGUCAGUUAUUAGAUGUAAAAGUCGAUUAUAGCUUCCAGCUUAUCUAAAAACCGUUUCACAAUUAUAACGAGUAUUUAUUUAAAUUGGAUUGUGGGGAAAAACACUUAAACUUUAUUUCAAUAUUGUGGUGUGCAGUGUGGUUCUGUGCAGGUUAUAGGAUAGUAAUGAGGGCGGCAGAGAAAGAUGUAUGGUUUUAAUAAAGGUCAUUAAUGUCCAUGCACAAAGCCAUCAUAGUGCUAGAAUUCAUCUUCAGUGGGUUUCAAAUGAAACAAGAAAGGACAAAUAAAGUGAAAUGAAGAGGCAGAGAUGCUGAUACGUGUUUUAGAGUCUUUUGAAAAUGUCUUUUCUGACUUUUUUUUUUUUUUUUUUACCCCUGCGAAUGAUGUGUUUUUGUUUGUUUGUUGUUUGUUUGUUGGCUGGUUGGUUGGAUGAUUGGUAUUUUUUUUUUUUUUUUUUUGCAUUUAAUUUAUCCUUUUGUAUAUACCACUAUGCUUGUUUACUAUUGUAUGAGAUUGGAAUAGUCAGACCGUCAUAUCCAUUUCUUUAGUCAGUGUAACUGAAAACCAAUUUGCACCCUUAUUGAUGAAGUAAUAUCACACUGUAACUUGAUACCAAUGUUUUAAUAUUUUUGAUCUCCAAAAGUCUAUCAAAGAACAUGUUGGAACAAGAAAAGCUAUUGAAAAUUAUAUAUCAUUAUUCUUACCAUCUGAUCAUGCAUAUGCAAUUUACAUAUAUUUACUCUCAUGACAGUUGGGCUAUAAAAUGCCAUUAAUACAGUGUACCAACAUAACCAGUGAUGCAGUUAUUUAUUUUAAGAUGGAACAAAGUGCUUAAAUUAUGUCUUUUAAUGUUCAUACUUUGCACCUUACAUUGCCACCAAAAGCUUGAAGCAUAUGUACAUAUUAGCAUACAUAAGCUUUCUCCACAUACAGACAUUUCAGUUUCAUAUUUCUGCUUUUUUCUCUUUUGUCUUUUUAUGAUGGCAUCUACUCUUGAACGUGCUUUGUUUAAGAAAGAUUAGCAUAUGCAGUAGUGGUAGGAGUGUGUACAUUGACCAAAUAACUCAUUAUUGUUAAUUAAAAAUAAUUUUGUGAGGUCCAG
ensembl:lncRNA